UUAAUGUCCCCAGGUUAGUGAUACUUUUCUGAGAAAUCCUUUGAUGUCGCAAGAACAUUUUUCUCCUUCAAAUGCCGUUGCUGCAGAUUUUCAACAAGUAUUAGGAAAGUAUAUGGCCAAAGAAUCUCAAAAACCAAGAAAGAUUCUUAGGAGGAUAUGGUGGAAACACUUCAAAAAGAUCAUAAUCAUCACUGUGGUAAUUCUCCUUUCAAUCAUCAUCAUUCUUUUAAGUACAAAUGUAAUACCAACCUGACCCUUUCUCUCACCAUGCCCAGCAGUUACCAAUAAAUGGUUAUAUGUAAACA
rnacentral:lncRNA from 1 species